rnacentral:rRNA from 1 species
UACGGAGGGAGCUAGCGUUAUUCGGAAUUACUGGGCGUAAAGCGCACGUAGGCGGCUUUGUAAGUUAGAGGUGAAAGCCUGGAGCUCAACUCCAGAAUUGCCUUUAAGACUGCAUCGCUUGAAUCCAGGAGAGGUGAGUGGAAUUCCGAGUGUAGAGGUGAAAUUCGUAGAUAUUCGGAAGAACACCAGUGGCGAAGGCGACACACUGGCCCGUUACUGACGCGGAGGCGCGAAAGCGUGGGGAGCAAACAGG